GCUUCCUUGGCUCAGCUGGUUAGAGCGCUGGUCUCAUAGUGACUAUGAGGUUGCAAAGGUAACCGUAAUCCAGAGGUCGCCAGUUCGAUCCUGGCAGGGAGCA
rfam:Coniophora puteana RWD-64-598 SS2 unplaced genomic scaffold CONPTscaffold_15, whole genome shotgun sequence.